UACGUAGGGGUGCAAGCGUUGUCCGGAAUUAUUGGGCGUAAAGAGCUCGUAGGCGGUUUGUCGCGUCUGCUGUGAAAAACUCGGGGCUUAACUCCGGGCCUGCAGUGGGUACGGGCAGACUAGAGUGCGGUAGGGGAGACUGGAAUUCCUGGUGUAGCGGUGAAAUGCGUAGAUAUCAGGAGGAACACCGGUGGCGAAGGCGGGUCUCUGGGCCGUAACUGACGCUGAGGAGCGAAAGCGUGGGGAGCGAACAGG
rnacentral:rRNA from 1 species